rnacentral:tRNA from 1 species
GGUUUUAUAUUCAAUUAAUGAUUUUAGAUUGCAAAUCUAAAGGUGUAUUUAAUACUAAAACCU